rnacentral:rRNA from 1 species
UACGUAGGGUGCGAGCGUUGCCCGGAUUUAUUGGGCGUAAAGGGCGCGCAGGCGGCUACGCACGUCCGUUGUGAAAUCGCUCGGCUCAACUGGGCGGGGUCAGCGGAUACGGCGUAGCUGGAGCAAGCUAGGGGGCAAUGGAAUUCCCGGUGUAGCGGUGAAAUGCGUAGAUAUCGUAAGGAAGACCAGUGGCGAAGGCGGGUCUCUGGACAGUUCCUGACGCUGAGGCACGAAGGCCAGGGGAGCAAACGGG